UACGAAGGGGGCUAGCGUUGUCCGGAAUCAUUGGGCGUAAAGCGCGUGUAGGCGGCCCGGUAAGUCCGCUGUGAAAGUCGGGGGCUCAGCCCUCGGAUGCCGGUGGAUACUGUCGGGCUAGAGUGCGGAAGAGGCGAGUGGAAUUCCUGGUGUAGCGGUGAAAUGCGCAGAUAUCAGGAGGAACACCGAUUGCGAAGGCAGCUCGCUGGGACGUGACUGACGCUGAGACGCGAAAGCGUGGGGAGCAAACAGG
rnacentral:rRNA from 1 species